GGCGCACGGUGGAUGCCUUGGCACUAGAAGCCGAUGAAGGACGUUACUAACGACGAUAUGCUUUGGGGAGCUGUAAGUAAGCUUUGAUCCAGAGAUUUCCGAAUGGGGAAACCCAGCAUGAGUUAUGUCAUGUUAUCGAUAUGUGAAUACAUAGCAUAUCAGAAGGCACACCCGGAGAACUGAAACAUCUUAGUACCCGGAGGAAGAGAAAGAAAAUUCGAUUCCCUUAGUAGCGGCGAGCGAAACGGGAAGAGCCCAAACCAACAAGCUUGCUUGUUGGGGUUGUAGGACACUCUAUACGGAGUUACAAAGGACGACAUUAGACGAAUCAUCUGGAAAGAUGAAUCAAAGAAGGUAAUAAUCCUGUAGUCGAAAAUGUUGUCUCUCUUGAGUGGAUCCUGAGUACGACGGAGCACGUGAAAUUCCGUCGGAAUCUGGGAGGACCAUCUCCUAAGGCUAAAUACUCUCUAGUGACCGAUAGUGAACCAGUACCGUGAGGGAAAGGUGAAAAGCACCCCGGAAGGGGAGUGAAAUAGAACCUGAAACCGUGUGCUUACAAGUAGUCAGAG
rnacentral:rRNA from 1 species